CCCGUGGCUGCCAUCGCCUCGGGGGAGAGUGGGGUAAGAUGAGACAUUUUUCAUAUUUCUGAUCACUAGAUCAAGGCAAUCAUAGAUUUAUUUCUAACUAGUGUAUCUGCUUAUAUUUCAGGAUGCUGUGCAUUCAUGCAAACCAACAGAAUGAGUGUAAACAUAACUGACUUGAUAAUAUAGCAUGCCAAAAAAAGUGGUCUCCUAUGGUCAACUUACCCCAUGUAUGUAAGUUGAGCCUUAUCCCUACUACCCCUCCACUCUCCACCCCAGCCCUCCCUCACCUUCUCUCUCCCUAAAUGACAGUAACUUCUUCACAUUCAUGUGUAUUUUUAUCUAUUAUACGC